AGUAACGCGUGGAUAACCUGCCUCACACAGGGGGAUAACAGUUGGAAACGGCUGCUAAUACCGCAUAAGCGCACAGCACCGCAUGGUGCAGUGUGAAAAACUCCGGUGGUGUGAGAUGGAUCCGCGUCUGAUUAGCUUGUUGGCGGGGUAACGGCCCACCAAGGCGACGAUCAGUAGCCGGCCUGAGAGGGCGACCGGCCACAUUGGGACUGAGACACGGCCCAG
rnacentral:rRNA from 1 species